rnacentral:rRNA from 1 species
GAUGAACGCUGGCGGCGUGCCUAAUACAUGCCAGUCGAGCGAACAGACGAGGAGCUUGCUCGUCUGACGUUAGCGGCGGACGGGUGAGUAACACGUGGAUAAUCUCCCUAUAAGUCUGGGAAAUUCACGAGAAACCGGAGCUAAUCCCGGAUAAUCUCCUGCUCCGCGUUGUUGAAUAGUGAAAGACGGUUUUGCUGUCAGUUAUCGAUGGUUAUGAGCCGCAUUAGCUAGUUGGUAAGGUAACGGCUUACCAAGGCGACGAUGCGUAGCCGAACUGUGAGAGGGAUCGGCCACACGAGAACUGGAACACGGUCCAGGCUCCUACGGGAGGCAGCAGUAGGGUAUCUGCCGCAGUGGGCGAAAGCCUUACGGAGCAACGGCGCGUGAGUGAUGAAGAUCUUCGGAUCGUAAAACUCUGUUAUGAGGGAAGAACAAAUGUGUAAGGAACUAUGCACGGCUUGACGGUACCUAAUCAGAAAGCCACGGCUAACUACGUG